UACGAGAGGCAUCUGGUCCUCAAUUUACCCUUCAGGGUAUCAGAGGCUCUGGUCCUCAAUCUACCCUUCCGGGUAUCAGAGGCUCUGGUCCUCAAUCUACCCUUCCGGGUAUCAGAGGCCCAAGUCCUCAAUCUACCCUUCCGGGUAUCAGAGGCUCUGGUCCUCAUUCUACCCUUCCGGGUACCAGAGGCCCAAGUCCUCAAUCUACCCUUCCGAGUAUCAGAGGCUCAAGUCCUCAUUUACCCUUCCGGGUAUCAGAGACCCAAAUCCUCAUUCUACUCCAUCGGGAACCAUAGACUCUAGCCCUCAGAAAACCCCACUUGGUACCGAAGGCAGGGUAGGUCAAGGUCCAGUCCCUUGCUUUUGAGUCAUCUCACCUCCCGAGCAUUCUCUAUACUUGGGGGACUUAUUCAUACCACUUAUCACAAGUGGAGGUAGUACCCGACCGGGACUAUCAUUGAGGUUCACGCUCAUACUUUCGUGUUAUGGUCUAUUAAUGGAAAUAUUGAAAUUUUUCACCUAUUGUUGAUCGCAACAAUUAAAUUUCUUUUACAUCCCAUUAAUAAGACCAUAGGACAAAACUCACACCCGCUCAACAUGAGCGAGCUCAUCUCUUACGUUCCCGUUACACAUGAGCCGAACAAUCAGGUUAUGGCUUAUACGUUCGGGUUAAGUAAGUUAGAGUUCCUUCCUCUAGCCUAUACUUGGGGGACUAUCAUGGUCACGCCAUAGUCUCGCUAGUAUUGUCAAUGGUUACUUCGAUACCGGAGCUUCAUUCUCAGCCUUACCGGCUUCGUCGAACGUAACCUAAAUCCAAAUUCCUGUUUUACUACGUGACUUGGGGGACUCGGCGAGUAACCACACUCCCGAUCCUAACACAUGUGCAUCACGUACAUACAACACUUACAUAUCAUUAUGUCUUACCGUGUUCAUCACACAUCUUUGCAUCAUGCAUCUCAUAAACAUUCAUGCACCUUGAUGCAUUUGAUUCAAAUGUCACUUCGAUUGCCCUAGCGCAAUCAAUAUGCUUUUUGUGCACUCUUAUCUUAUUUGCAGGUACUAGCUUCAUGAGGGCCCCGGGGCACCAACAUACCCGUAGAGUCCCUUCUUACUUACGGAGUUGGGGGACUAGUAUGGGUAUGGCGUUCAACAAGGUCAUCACUCAUACUUGGCGGCAUCACAUUUAAACUCCCCAACCAAGAAGCUCCUCUUACUCGGGGACUUGGGGGACUUGUUGAUAUCACUUAUACCACAUACCGCCAAGCAUAAGCAACGACCUCUUAGGUGGGCCCCGCGACAUGGCUAGUCCCGCCUACGACAUGCAUCCGGUAGUCCGACACCCGGGCUACCUCGCUAUGGUGGAGGUCAGCCGGUACCUUGCUAGGAGGCCACCCUCCCAUGCUCUCCAAGAGGCUUCAAGAGAAGCAAUAUGUACAUUGUAUCCCACAUCGGAAAUAUAGAAUAGAUGGGGACUUCCCUUAGCUAUAAAGGGAAGUCCUCCCCUUCUUAGAAGGGAUGGAUCCAUGAUCCCUACACUUGUAUCACUACAAAGGUCACUUGGCCUCACUCAUAGUAAACUAUCUAAGUGGACGUAGCCUUGCCUCAAGAGCAAGGUGAACCACUAUACAUGCGGUGUUAUCUCUCUCUCUCUCUCUCCCCAUCAUGAUCCGCACACACUUCCCGUUCCGUAUUCUUCAGUAGAAACACAUAUCAUUCCACUACCAUCUACAGAUAGACAAAAAGUUGUGAUGAAGAAACACCACGGUGAUACAAAAAAUAGGAUCAUUUAUUCAACGUGUCAUGCUCACUUAUUAAAAGUAAGCCUAUUGAACUAUGAACAAAACAAAGCAUAGUAAUAGGCUGAGUUUAAACAAAACUAACUAAGACAUGAGUAAAAAAACCUAAUAGCCCUUCUGAACCCAAGAAAAUCAGGCUCAAAAGUUAACUGCAAAGCCUCAGGCCCAGCUAGUGGCCUAAGAAGCCCAUCAAGGGAAACACCUAGCUGUAAAUCUGGUAACCUCCAAGCUGUUAUAGCUUCCAUCAGAGAUCCGGCCAACCAAACAACUAGUCCGACCCACGCCAACCCAAUCAUAGGCAUUCCCGCCUCCAUCUUUUCCUUCGAUAUCACUGAGAGCUGGGCUCGGAUUUGGGCCCGCCACACUGAUAUGAACACCCAUAGCUAGGGCACCCUGACGCAACUGAAAACCACAAUCUAUUCCAGCAUCUUCUGCAACUUCGGCCAAGAAACUUUAGAGCCGCCGCCGCCUGACAUCACCUUUUAUAGCAGCAAGAGAUGAGCAACCAUAAGACAACCAUCAAAGGUUCCAAUUCGAAACUUCCACCAUAAAAAGUAGAAUUGGUUUUGUAGAGGGAAAGAGGAGUAGAGAGGUUCAUCACCCUCUAAUAAGAUUGGACAAAGAUGUUCUGAAGUUCCAACGCGACCGAAGCCGCAUGCCCAUUGCUGCUACAAGGGAGCUGUUACGUCCCGAACCCAAAUUUACCCGUUUACUAGUCAUUUGGACGGUAAACGACAACUACUUUCACUUUUAUUGUCGUUUCGGUACUUUUAGGGGGCCCUAAAAGUCGACUUUUUGUUCGAGUCAAAAUUUGAGAAAAUGUUCUUCAUGAAAGUUGUAGAGGACGUUAAACCGAGUGCGUGCAUACGUGGUACGUAAAAAUCGGAGUUCGUAUACGAAAGUUAUAAGCGAAAAGGUAGAAGUUACUGUUCAUGGUAAGUAGUAUAAAUUUGAAAAAGUUACUGUUGGGGUUGAUAUUUUUUCUUACACUCUCUCUCUCCCCGCGCGAUUCUCUCUCUCCUUCCCGGUUCUCUCUCUCUCCUCUGCAGCUCCGGCUAGUUUCUGUUUCCGGCCACCUGGGGAUGAACCGCGACCACCCCUAGCUUCGUCUCCUCCUCCUGGACUCGCUGGUGGUGGUGGCUCGCCGUGACUUGACCGAAAAACCACGAAUGGACGCCGAGAACUUUUUGGUGGCAGUUUGGUCAACGCCAGUUUCUCCCGAUUCCGGCCACCUCCGGCGACGAACCAUAAUCAUUUGGAAGCGCCUUGCGAUGUAGAUGAUGCUCCCCAAAUCUUUUGCAGCGAUUUGAAGCGUGGAGGAAGAAUCGAAGGGCAAUGUUGCGAGCUACGGCUAGAUGAAGGAACUCGUUUGCGUGGUCGCCCAUUAGUACUUUUGCAGGAGUUAUUAGUUGAGGUCGGGCGUACGUGGUUCGAGGCAUAGUUGACGAAUAGCUUCCGCACUUCUACGUUUGGCUCUGAUAUAUUGUGAGUUAAUAGUUUUGGGUAGUUCACUUUAGGGGUGACUCGGCCAAUUCUCGGUAGAGUUAUCUCUAAGGAGGGCCCCACAGGGCCACCUCGGAUUUCAGGGUGAAAUCCGGGGCGGGUCCUGUCAGGAGCAGCAUUAGAGUGAGCGCAAGGAGGAGCGCGGCUAGAGAGAGGCUAGGGUUUGCCAUCUUUUAAUUAACCUUGUGUUUGUAAUUUUGUAUAAGCUUGACCUAAUUUAAUCCUAACAAUUCCCCACACCCUAACACAAUAAAAUUCAACAA